rnacentral:lncRNA from 1 species
GGCAACUCUGCUUUGCUUUCUUAGCUUAACUUUUUCUACAAGUGUCAAUAUAUACAUCACACACAUACCAUACAACAUAUGUCCGUUGUCUUCUCUGCUAGUCUAUGCUCUGACUGAACAUCAUGAAGGAAAAGGAGAAGAAGGAGAAGAGGAAGAGGAAGAGGAAGAGGAAGGGUAAGGAAGAGAAUUCAAAUCUGUCUCUUCUUUCCUUGAGAGGUUAGAAGAAGAAGAAGAAGAAGAAGAAGCUAUAAACAGGCAAGUCAUAGAGGCAAAAGGGAAGGCCCAAGCCUUUCUUCCAGUGGUGUUUUUUUGGGGGGGUUUCCUUGUUGGUUGUUUCAAACCGUCUUCCGUGUGUUGUUGUCGUCGUUGUCCGUCUCUAUCUGUUUGUAAGUUGAUUAAAAAUAAGAUUAAAGAGUGUUGUCAGUCUCAGACUGGGUUAGUGGGAAAAGGGUGUCUUUGUGUUUUAUCUGAAACGGGCAAGUUUGACUGCUUCCUUUCCUUUGUUUUUCUUUUGCCCUUUGUUUGUAUCAGCACAGCACAGCAGAGACAGAGUCUAUUAAAAGCUUUACCUCCCUUCUUUUAUUAUCAUAUCUGUUAUAAACUUGCUCUUGCCCAAGGCUUCAAGCUGAUCUACUGAUUCACCCGUCAUUUAUUUGAAAUACUACUUAAUAAGUAAGUCUCACUUGUCUUAUCCAUCCUAGCACUUCUCACUUAUCAAUGAUUCCUCUUACAGGCGAUCCAAUUGAAGAGUUGUGUUUCGACUUCAGUUCAUCCACCGAACGAAGCUGCCGAUUUAGCAGCACGAUUUUACUGCUUUCCAUCCGAGCGUCUCCUUACAGAACUAUCCCGAGUACAACACGCGAUCGAAGAUUGGAGAAACAAUGAUCCAGCAGAACUUGCUUUAAUCAAAGAUUGGAGAAACAAUGGUGUGUUUUAAAUUGAUUAAAGUAUGGGGUGAUCCAGCAGAACUUGCUAUUAGAUCAGCCUCAACAAAACAUGGGACAUCAACAACUCUUCAUCUAACAAAACUCUAUGUCCCUUCUUUCAAAACCAGACACUUCUAUUACGCAGCAGCUACUUUCACUAAUCAUAAUCAUAAUAAUACCUAUUUAUUAAUCUCCGUCAUCGUCGUCAUCGCCAACGAUUUCUGGGACUAACUACUCAC